rnacentral:lncRNA from 1 species
AUUUGGUUUAGGUUUUAAAGUUUUUUUAGGAUUUGAUUUACAGUUUAAUUUAGGAUCUAAGAUUUACUCUAAGGUUUGAUUUAGGAUUUAGGAUUUGUUCAGGAUUUGGUUUAUGAUUUAGGAUUUUUUUAGGAUUUGAUUUAGGAUUUGAUUUAGGAUUUGUUUUAGGAUUUAGGAUUUGUCUAAGGUUUGAUUUAAGAUUUGGUUUGGGGUCUAAGAUUUGAUCUAAGAUUUAAUUUAGGAUUUAGGGUUUUUUUAGGAUUUGAUUUAGAAUUUGAUUUAGGAUCUAGGAUUUGAUCUAGGAUUUAGUUUAGGAUUUAGGAUUUAUCUAAGGUUUGAUUUAGAAUUUGAUUUAGGAUUUAGAAUUUAUAUAAGGUUUAAUUUAGGAUUUGAUUUAGGAUUUAGAAUUUGUCUAAGAUUUGAUUUAGGAUUUGGUUUAGGAUUUAGAAUUUAUCUAAGAUUCGAUUGAAGUCUAUUAGGAUUUCAACUAGGAUUAAAUUAAAACCUAAUUGAGAUUUGUUUAAAAAAUAUUUGUAAUUAUUUUAUUAUUUUUUAGAACUUCUUAAGGAUUCUUUUAAAAUUUAUUGUGGAUUUUCUUUCAAUUUCUUUAAUAUU